CCGAGUGCUUGCACUCAAUUGGAAAGAGGAGUGGCGGACGGGUGAGUAACACGUGGGUAACCUACCCAUCAGAGGGGGAUAACACUUGGAAACAGGUGCUAAUACCGCAUAACAGUUUAUGCCGCAUGGCAUAAGAGUGAAAGGCGCUUUCGGGUGUCGCUGAUGGAUGGACCCGCGGUGCAUUAGCUAGUUGGUGAGGUAACGGCUCACCAAGGCCACGAUGCAUAGCCGACCUGAGAGGGUGAUCGGCCACACUGGGACUGAGACACGGCCCAGACUCCUACGGGAGGCAGCAGUAGGGAAUCUUCGGCAAUGGACGAAAGUCUGACCGAGCAACGCCGCGUGAGUGAAGAAGGUUUUCGGAUCGUAAAACUCUGUUGUUAGAGAAGAACAAGGACGUUAGUAACUGAACGUCCCCUGACGGUAUCUAACCAGAAAGCCACGGCUAACUACGUGCCAGCAGCCGCGGUAAUACGUAGGUGGCAAGCGUUGUCCGGAUUUAUUGGGCGUAAAGCGAGCGCAGGCGG
rnacentral:rRNA from 1 species